UUUCUCUUUGUGAAUAAUUGUAGAGUUUAAAGUCCUACACUUGACUUAUAUUACUAUCUACCCUUUGUUUCCCCUCCUUACUGUCAGGAAUACCUGCAAAUAAGGACAGAACGCCCUGACGAGACUCCUGCAGGAGGUUGAUCCAAAUUGGACUGAUCAUGAACAUCGUUCUGUGAAAUGUUAGACAUGAAGGUGAAUCCCUCUUUUGAUACAAAAUUCCCAUAGGCUCAUAGCAGCAUGGAGGAAGAUGGAUGCUCAUUGCAAGGCUACCAAGUAGGUCUGUGAGGAAUCCAGCAGCAGUGUCUUCAAUCACAGAAAGUGCUUUUAGAAAACAUUAUGGUAAAGCUCCGCACUAAACGCUGUUUGUCCCUGAAAAAGAAGGAAAAAUCACUGUGAAGAAAACAAGAAAGCAGCACAGAGAGAAGAGUGUUCGCUGCAGUAAAAACACUUCUUCGGUCCAUCUGCAAAUGUUUUUCAAACUCAAAAUCAAGAUGGCUUCAAGAAACAAGAUUCAGAUGGUGAAUAGUUCCCGGUUGCACUCAGGAAAUGGGCUUGUCAAAUGAGAAGACAAAAUAAUUGUUUUCACAGAUUUCCUUUUGCUCGCCAGGGCUGUUUCAAAAGAAAGCACACAAGCAUGAUUAAGGAAUGGAUAUAUGGGCUAAAUGUUGAGCUAGUUUUUAAAAUUCAUAUCUAAUAUUUAUUUGCACGUCCUUUGAAGGUGUUGAUGACUGGAUGCCACAAAAUUUGAACAUCUCUUUAGAGACAGUUUACUGACUUUCAAAGGUCCUUCCUAACUACUUUCUUUUGCAUCAUUUGGAGUCAUGACACCAUCUGCAGACACUACUGAUGGCAGUCUACAACUGUAGGCUAGAAAAGUAAAGAAAAUGUACAGAAUCAAGUUAGAGGAGGGGCUGUCAAUCUCUGUUCUUAAGGACCAUGUAGAAUCUGACUCAUGUAGGAGAACCAGAAAAAAUUGUCUUUGAGAUUUAUAACCACUCACAUCUCCCCCUGAACUCAAGCACCCACUCAAAGUGAGCCUGAGCACUCAUGGGCAAGUAUGCUUGUUUAAAUUACUGUUGCAUCAAUGGAGAGGUUCAUAGAGUUACCCGAUAAAAGGGAAAAUGAUGAUAGUCUUCAGAUUUGUGAGAAGAAUUUAGGUGAUUGGCAUAAACAGGCAAAAGAGCAUUUGUCAUUCGCAUACAACGCCAGGCAGAAAUCACUGUGUGGGUGCGUAGUUUUGUGUAUGUUUGUUGUGGUUGACUUAGCUCAAGUCAAUAAUUCUGCUGAGAUAAGUACCUGAAAUGCCAGAGGCAAAUCGAUGAAGGAAAAGGCAGGUAUCUAAACUUCUACAGAAUCAGAAAAAAAACAAUGUAAUACCUGCACAGUUACAGUCUUAAAAAGAAAUUGGGAGUUAUUUUUGAGCAGAAUUUGGCUUACACUGAAAAGCUAUCAAAAUACAAGAACUUACUACACAUAAAAAUGAUCAAAGGAUUUUAAUGUUAUUAUUGUUUUCAGCACUCAGCAUGAUUAAUCAUCUACCUUUCCUGUAUCUAACAAAAACAAGUGUAAUAGAGAGAGAACAGAGAUGUAAAUAAUUGUAUAAGUGUGCACUUCAGAAAUUUUCCGCUAUAUCUGCCAUAUGUGUUCGUCUUGUCAAUGGGGUAACACAUUGAAGAAGGAAGCACAGUAUGUAUGUAUGACUUAUGUAAUAAUAAUAAUAAUAAUAUGAAGCUACACAACAUGUAUUAGCCAUUUGAAUCAUUUAGAGAACUCUGAGGGGAUAAAAGUCAGAGGGAAAAUACAGACUCAGGAUUAUACCACGCAAAUCUGAUACUACAUGGAAAGCAUUUCAUUAUUGGUAAGCAGAAUGCAUUAUGUUAGUAGCAGGAGGCAGUACAAGGGUUCAGUUAACAGGCAUGUUUACCAUGCACACCCCAAAUUUGGAUAAAAACCAAUAGAAGUUGACUUUAGGAUCUUCAUUUCAGACAUU